AUGAACGCUGGCGGCGUGCCUAAUACAUGCAAGUCGAGCGAACAGAUGAGGAGCUUGCUCCUCUGACGUUAGCGGCGGACGGGUGAGUAACACGUGGAUAACCUACCUAUAAGACUGGGAUAACUUCGGGAAACCGGAGCUAAUACCGGAUAAUAUAUUGAACCGCAUGGUUCAAUAGUGAAAGACGGUUUUGCUGUCACUUAUAGAUGGAUCCGCGCCGCAUUAGCUAGUUGGUAAGGUAACGGCUUACCAAGGCAACGAUGCGUAGCCGACCUGAGAGGGUGAUCGGCCACACUGGAACUGAGACACGGUCCAGACUCCUACGGGAGGCAGCAGUAGGGAAUCUUCCGCAAUGGGCGAAAGCCUGACGGAGCAACGCCGCGUGAGUGAUGAAGGUCUUCGGAUCGUAAAACUCUGUUAUUAGGGAAGAACAAAUGUGUAAGUAACUAUGCACGUCUUGACGGUACCUAAUCAGAAAGCCACGGCUAACUACGUU
rnacentral:rRNA from 1 species